CACGUAGGAGGCGAGCGUUAUCCGGAUUCACUGGGCGUAAAGCGCGUGCAGGCGGUUUGGUAAGUUGAUCGUGAAAGCUCCCGGCUCAACUGGGAGAGGUCGUUCAAUACUACCAAACUAGAGAGUAGAAGAGGAAGAUGGAAUUCCCGGUGUAGUGGUGAAAUGCGUAGAUAUCGGGAGGAACACCAGUGGCGAAGGCGAUCUUCUGGUCUAUUUCUGACGCUCAGACGCGACAGCUAGGGUAGUAAACGGG
rnacentral:rRNA from 1 species